rnacentral:rRNA from 1 species
GAGUUUGAUCCUGGCUCAGGAUGAACGCUAGCUACAGGCUUAACACAUGCAAGUCGAGGGGCAGCAUGGUCUUAGCUUGCUAAGGCCGAUGGCGACCGGCGCACGGGUGAGUAACACGUAUCCAACCUGCCGUCUACUCUUGGACAGCCUUCUGAAAGGAAGAUUAAUACAAGAUGGCAUCAUGAGUCCGCAUGUUCACAUGAUUAAAGGUAUUCCGGUAGACGAUGGGGAUGCGUUCCAUUAGAUAGUAGGCGGGGUAACGGCCCACCUAGUCUUCGAUGGAUAGGGGUUCUGAGAGGAAGGUCCCCCACAUUGGAACUGAGACACGGUCCAAACUCCUACGGGAGGCAGCAGUGAGGAAUAUUGGUCAAUGGGCGAGAGCCUGAACCAGCCAAGUAGCGUGAAGGAUGACUGCCCUAUGGGUUGUAAACUUCUUUUAUAAAGGAAUAAAGUCGGGUAUGGAUA